rnacentral:rRNA from 1 species
CAGCAGCCGCGGUAAUACGUAGGGUGCGAGCGUUAAUCGGAAUUACUGGGCGUAAAGCGUGCGCAGGCGGUUCGUUAAGACAGAUGUGAAAUCCCCGGGCUUAACCUGGGAACUGCAUUUGUGACUGGCGAGCUAGAGUAUGGCAGAGGGGGAUGGAAUUCCGCGUGUAGCAGUGAAAUGCGUAGAUAUGCGGAGGAACACCGAUGGCGAAGGCAAUCCCCUGGACCUGUACUGACGCUCAUGCACGAAAGCGUGGGGAGCAAACAGGAUUAGAUACCCCUGUAGUCCCUGUCUCUUAUAC